rnacentral:tmRNA from 1 species
GGGGGCGCAUUGGUUUCGACGGGGAUGCUGGAAGCCAUGGCAGCAGGUCGAGGCGCCGCUGGCCUCGUAAAAAGCGGCAGCAAAGUAAUUGCCAACAACGAUUACGAAUACGCCUACGCUGCAUAAGCGGGGCAAAUUGGCGGCACAAGCGCCGCCACGCCGGAGCGGAUGACGUCCGAUAGUCCGCCGAGGCGCCGAUCUUUCGGGCUGGCUCGUGUUUGCUCCUGCUGGGGCGCGGGCGAGGAUGUACGGUGGGAUAACCGAAGGAUGCCCGUCUGCGGGCCCAUCCCCAGGCGAAAAGCCAAACGCAGACUAAGCCUGUAGACGCUUUGCGCGGACCUUUCUCGGACGGGAGUUCAACUCUCCCCGCCUCCACCA